rnacentral:ncRNA from 1 species
GUGCGGUUACAAAAAACAACGUUUUUUGAACGUUGGCUCUGCCAACGGCUCUGAAAGAGUGAAUAAAUUACGUUAGUAAUUUAUGAAUAAUUUCAAAU